rnacentral:lncRNA from 1 species
GUAACCCUAUGAACAUAACAGUAUGCCAGUGGAAGGGAGGACAGUAGCGGGUAACCCUAUGAGCUGAACAUAACAGUAUGCCAGUGGAAGGGAGGACAGUAGCAGGUAACCCUAUGAGCUGAACAUAACAGUAUGCCAGUGGAAGGGAGGACAGUAGCGGGUAACCCUAUGAGCUGAACAUAACAGUAUGCCAGUGGAAGGGAGGACAGUAGCAGGUAACCCUAUGAGCUGAACAUAACAGUAUGCCAGUGGAAGGGAGGACAGUAGCAGGUAACCCAACAGUGGUUUGUGACUAUUAUGAUUUCCCACUGUAGCAAAUUGAAUUGCAGUAAUUCCGUUACUGAUUUUAAACAAAUUCUGUUACCAAUUUGGUAACAGAAUUUAGAGUUUUAAACACUUAAUAAUUCAUAAACCAAAUAGAUAUCAGUAAAAACACUAUGACUUAUUGGUAGGUCUAUCUUAUUAGACACUAUGACUUAUUGGUAGGUCUACCUUAUUAGACACUAUGACUUAUUGGUAGGUCUACCUUAUUUAACACUAUGACUUAUUGGUAGGUCUACCUUAUUAGACACUAUGACUUAUUGGUAGGUCUACCUUAUUUAACACUAUGACUUAUUGGUAGGUCUACCUUAUUUAACACUAUGACUUAUUGGUAGGUCUACCUUAUUAGACACUAUGACUUAUUGGUAGGUCUACCUUAUUAGACACUAUGACUUAUUGGUAGGCCUACCUUAUUUAACACUAUGACUUAUUGGUAGGUCUACCUUAUUAGACACUAUGACUUAUUGGUAGGUCUACCUUAUUAGACACUAUGACUUAUUGGUAGGUCUACCUUAUUAGACACUAUGACUUAUUGGUAGGUCUACCUUAUUUAACAC